GCCUACGGCCAUACCACCCUGAGAGUGCCCGAUCUCGUCUGAUCUCGGAAGCUAAGCAGGGUCGGGCCCGGUUAGUACUUGGAUGGGAGACCGCCUGGGAAUACCGGGUGCUGUAGGCU
ensembl:rRNA 5S_rRNA 5S ribosomal RNA